rnacentral:rRNA from 1 species
AUUGAACGCUGGCGGCAGGCCUAACACAUGCAAGUCGAACGGUAACAGGCCGCAAGGUGCUGACGAGUGGCGAACGGGUGAGUAAUGCAUCGGAACGUGCCCAGUCGUGGGGGAUAACGCAGCGAAAGCUGUGCUAAUACCGCAUACGAUCUAUGGAUGAAAGCGGGGGACCGUAAGGCCUCGCGCGAUUGGAGCGGCCGAUGUCAGAUUAGGGAGUUGGUGGGGUAAAGGCCUACCAAGCCGACGAUCUGUAGCUGGUCUGAGAGGACGACCAGCCACACUGGGACUGAGACACGGCCCAGACUCCUACGGGAGGCAGCAGUGGGGAAUUUUGGACAAUGGGCGCAAGCCUGAUCCAGCAAUGCCGCGUGCAGGAAGAAGGCCUUCGGGUUGUAAACUGCUUUUGUACGGAACGAAACGGUCUGGGUUAAUACCCUGGGCUAAUGACGGUACCGUAAGAAUAAGCACCGGCUAACUACGUGCCAGCCGCCGCCGUAAAAC